UACUUAUCCAGAAAGACAGAGGGAAUUGACCCGGUGAAGUCUUGGCAACCUGCAAAGGUAAGGUGCCACAUUCAACCCCAAAAGGGAAAGAUAAGUC
rfam:Elizabethkingia anophelis NTHP1, complete genome.